GCCUGACCCUGCUUUCAACCAGGAAGUUCAAGGGAGGCAGGACUUUACGGUCAAAACUGCAAAGCCGAAGCUCAAGACUGUAAGAAGAAAGUGAUCUUCAAAGAAAAGGAUUCACCCAAAUCGAAGAGGAUAUCGUUUCGCAUCAGGGACACUCGUCUCCACACCUCCUACCUCAAAGUCCUACGCACCUACCCUUCACGUCUCUCCAAAGCAACUGAAUUAAAGCGCCUACUGGCCUUGGCGGCGCAGGUCCCAAGAUUUUGACUGAUUGGUUGUACGACUAGAGUUGCUGGAGUUCAAGUAUUUUCAUUUUAACUAUUCAACUGAAAGCAGUGCGUUACAACAGAACACGGGUUCCAAAGAAUUUACUGAGAAGAAGCAAAGUAAUACUUGGGAGAACUAUAAUACACAGGCAUCUCAUGAAAAUCAUCCAACAUAUAGAAGAAUAUAUAGAAUAAAGCAAAAAUCAUCAGAAACUCCACCGUCUUGGAUGACCAUAGUUGAUAUUCUGAAUGGCUUCUGUUCCGAUUGAACCUUGACUGAUGUAGCACCUAUCACCAAAUUGCUGUUCAGGAAAUAUGUCCUAAAGAAACUCCCAACAGCAGCAAUACAUCAGAGUGGCACCUCUUUACACUGGUUCUUGAGAAGAUGUCAGAGUGAGAUUUGCAAUAGACUCCCAGCAGCCCCCAGGAGCACCAAGUGAGAUGCCUGCCAGGCCCACUGUGUCCACUGCCCUCUGGUAGCACCUGAGGAUCAUGGGAAAGGGGCACAUCCAGAAAGGAGAUAAGAUCAGAAGCCUUUAUUUCCACUAUUCAGCCACUCACUGCCUGAGACUUAACUUCAUUUCAAGUAAGGGGAUAAUAUUUGGCCCCUAAGUAUCUUACAAGGGUUUUGUUUUCCCUAAGAGAAAAAAAAUUAGGUAAGAUCAUAAGUAAGAAAGGAUUUUUUGAAUUAAAAAUAUAUGCAAAUGCAAGUUAUAACAAUUUUUGUUCUGGAUAUUUUUGCAGUAGAUAGAAAAGUUCUUUGUGCUGUGGCCACCUGCCUAAUGCUGUUGACUGGCUGGUAAUAGAUGCCUGGGAGUCAUUUUGAGGUUACUUAGAGCCUCUUUCCACCACCAGAUGGAAGGAAAUUGGGCAACUUCUUGAGUAAUUGGCUCUUCUGACUCACGUUUCUUGCAUUGUGACCUGGGUGCUACCCAGGAUGAGCAAGGAAUUUCCUCUCUGGAGUUGUUUAAGGAAUAGCCCAAACGUUCAGCUUCAUCUUUUUUUAAUGCCGCCUCUAACACUACCUGAGCAGCCACAGAAAAGUAUUUGCUGCUGCAGUAUUUUGGAUCAGCUGAAAUAUAUUUUGAGUAUGUACUCUGGGAAAGGCACAGAAUACCAUUUCUUUACUGAGAUUCUCUUCAAGGAUUUCCAUCCCUCCUUAAAGACCUAGUUGGGAUGGAGCAAUGUAUUUAGAACAUGAUGUGAGUACCAACAAGGAGUCGGGAGACACCUUUUAGCUGUACUUCUUUAUCUUUCUCUCCUUGCUUCCUCUGUCUCUGGUUUCCCCUUUUGCAUCUCUUGUUUUUCCUUUCUUUUCUUGUAUUACUUUCUCUUGAUCAAUAGAGCUGCCAUAGCCUUCCCAGACAUAAAUAAUCAGCUUCCUUGGAAGUACUCAGAAUGUGAACAGCUGUAGCCACUUAGACCUGGUCUUAGAUUCUCACCCCUUGUUGUGUAUUGUAAUUAUCUAGGGAACUUAAAAGGUACUGAGGCAUGGGCCCCAAUGGAAUCAUUAUCCCUGGGGGGUGGGGUGGGCCCUAGACCUGGUAUUUUCAAAAACUUUCAAAAAUUAUUCUAACACAUA
rnacentral:lncRNA from 1 species